AAAGCCUUCAUCUUCAUCAUCGGGGGAGUGGUCGGGCUGCUGGUGUUGUUACUUGUCAUCGCAGUGAUUCUACUGAAAUGCAGAAAACAAGCCAAAGCAGCAAAAGAUGUUCCCAAACUGGCCAAUAUCCCAGAAGAGACAGAUGAGACCUAUGCCACAGUGAAUGAGCAUCACACCGCUGAUCAUAAAAAUGAUGAGACAGAGAUCAGUCUGACCUACGCCACUGUGAGCCUCACUAAUCUAAAG